rnacentral:rRNA from 1 species
AUGCUUCUCCUUGACGUACCGGCUCCAGCCCUUGGUGAGCACGUAGCUCUGGCUGCUCGUCCAGUACGAGUACCGGAACCGCCAUGGCUUGCCGGCCUCGUCGUCGAAGGACAGGAGCAGGCCCUUCUCCCCAGAGUCGCCGCCAAGAGGGAAGCAUCUCUCGGCGUGCUGCUUGGGGAUCACCAGCCUGUUGAGCUUGCCUACAUCGCUGGGCGUGAGGGCCUUCUCAAACAGGUGCUCCUUCUCGUAGUGGUACUGCUGGUAGUGCAGGUUCGUGUACAUGGCCACGCCCCAUGGCCAUGCAUUGGGGUGCUCCUGGGAGAGAGGAUUCAUGGCCAUCCUAGCUAG